UCAAGGGGGCCGAAUACUUUCGCAAGGCACUGUACAUAUCCUGACAUGGCUUGUCUUUGUUGUCGCUCUCCAACCAAGUUUAAGCCACAAUCUGUACUAUUUAUGGUUGGUAAGAUGACUUGUCCUUGUGUGAUAUAAAGAUGUAGGAAUUAGAGUAUGUUGAACAACUUUAUCAACCCCAAGAAUGAACAGUAUUAGGUGUUUUUGACCUAUUACUCUGAUUCAACAUCUGUUAAUAAUUUGUUAAAGUGGAAUUUCCAGCAGUGUUGAAAGUCCAGGCCUGGUUUCCGGAGACAAGCUAUGUCACCAGGAAUCCCUGGCUGGCUGUGUACUGUGGUACUCUUGAAUAUCUAUUUUCCCUCUGGAGAAAUAUGCUGUGUAGGUUUGAUGGGUAAAAAAAACACUAUUCAAUUCAUGGCCCUGUUAAAAUACUUACAUUUAUCAUUCAGCAGGGCUUGUAACAAGGAUGCAAAUUUAUAGGGAUUCACACAGGUUUCCUCUUGUCAGUAUAGUUCUUGAAGGAAAGCAGAUCAGUAGAGUGAAUUGAACUAGAUCAGAUGAUUGGGACAAAGCUAAAAAUAAAUAGUGUGAGCUGGGGGCCAUUUUCAGGCUCCUUGCAAAGCUCGAUAGCCUGCAGAGUUCUGGGCCCUUUCGGGGCUAAAAGGAGGAGGAGACUAUGGCUUAAUGUUUUUAUGCCAAGAGUGUGCCAAGCUGUCAUCAAGGCAAAGGGUGGCUACUUUGAAGAAUCUCAAAUAUAAAAUAUAUUUAGAGUUGUUUCAAAGGAUCGGGUUCCUUUUUUAAAACUUUUUCUCUUAUGUAAUAUGAUAUAUCCAAAUCUAACUGCCUGUAGCUCAGGACCUGAAGCAAGGAUAUGCAUAUUCUUAUACUUUUAUUUAGUACCAUUUGAAAGAAAAUAAUUUCUAGCUGCCAUCCAUAUGUUUCCACUGUGCUGUGAUGUUUCAAAAACCUUUAUAAUCUCAGAGUAUUAUAUGAUUGAUUGACUUUUCCAAUCACACAGCAGUGCUAUUUGCAGAGUUAGCUGCAAGUAAAUGUUGCAAUUUUUCUGCCUUUCCUGUGCCUGCGACCAAAAACAAGCUGCAUAUGGGCAUUACCACAAGUGAUCUAAUGAUUCUAUCUCUUCGAAGCACAAUGUGCAGAGCUGGGAUGGUUGUAUCCCCCAUCUAUAACAUUCUAUUAGUUGCAAGAAUUUUGUAUAAUAAUUUAAAUAGAAAAACUCAACAUUUUGAAUCUGUCAUCAUUUUGUGUAUCAGUUCAUAAACCAUGUGCCAUGGAAUUGGUACAUUGAAAAUCUCCUCCCAACUAUUUUGCAACCUUUAUGGUGCAGCUGUGAAUUUUUUGGUCCUUAAAUUAAACAGGUAUACUUUAUUAUUUAUAAAAAAAAUGUGUUUAGCCUAUUUUGCUCUUUAAUGCUGGGCCGACAAACACAUUCCUUACCUUCUCCACGUUCCACUUGCCUCCUCCGUGUUUGCGGUAAUGCUGCAAACAGUUCGUUGUCAUUUUGGAUAGAGCAGACAUUUCCACAUUUCCCUACAAACUAUGGGUAUUGAUCAUAUUCCGGCCUCUAAUAGAAAAGGGGGCCCAUCUUAAACAGUUAAACCAUGGGGAAAGUUUUGGGAUUUACAAACUACAGGCCACUAAAUACCCUGGUUUAAAUGAAGAUAUGGAUUUCUCACCCUUCCUGUAGGGUCGUGAUGGAUCCAUUUGCUGUCAUCUUGUGGACAUUUUGCUCAAUUGGCCUCAGCUAUGGUUAGACUGUUGUUGUUCAUGUUUUGCUGUGUUCUAGUGUACUAUGGAAUAUAUAGCUUUCUUAUUCUUGACACUUCUCCCAGUCAUAUUUAAGGUUAGAACUACCUUUUAGUGUUCUGAUACUUCUAGUUUGGAGUUGUAUUUUUAUGAUAACAUAGCUACAGUAUUUCACCUUUUAAUGUGUAUAGUAUUGCUUACUAGGUGUGUCCAAUCAAUUGUGUAACCACUCCCUCUUCCAAUUAGGGCUAAUUGAAAAACUUAAAAAAGA